rnacentral:rRNA from 1 species
UACGGAGGGUGCAAGCGUUAUCCGGAUUCACUGGGUUUAAAGGGUGCGUAGGAGGGCAGGUAAGUCAGUGGUGAAAUCUCCGAGCUUAACUUGGAAACUGCCGUUGAUACUAUCUGUCUUGAAUAUUGUGGAGGUGAGCGGAAUAUGUCAUGUAGCGGUGAAAUGCUUAGAUAUGACAUAGAACACCAAUUGCGAAGGCAGCUGGCUACACAUAUAUUGACACUGAUGCACGAAAGCGUGGGGAUCAAACAGG